UACAGAGGUCUCAAGCGUUGUUCGGAUUCAUUGGGCGUAAAGGGUGCGUAGGCGGCGCGGUAAGUCGGGUGUGAAAUCUCGGGGCUUAACUCCGAAACUGCAUUCGAUACUGCCGUGCUUGAGGACUGGAGAGGAGACUGGAAUUUACGGUGUAGCGGUGAAAUGCGUAGAUAUCGUAAGGAAGACCAGUGGCGAAGGCGGGUCUCUGGACAGUUCCUGACGCUGAGGCACGAAGGUCAGGGGAGCAAAACGGG
rnacentral:rRNA from 1 species